AAGACCAUGAUGCCCUG
rnacentral:misc_RNA from 1 species